GAAGUAGCCCUGUUCAGAAUGGGGCUCAAGGGAAGUGUACUGUUUGAUAGAGGCGCAUGACCUGAAAAGCACUCUCCACUUUGUUUUCCUCUGGUUUUGAAUGCAGUUUAUCCCGUCUUAAAUUUUAUCGAUUAUUUACGUAAAAAAAUACCUAAAGUUGUAUAUGAGGAAAGUUGUUUGAAAUGUUUGGACAAAGAUUACAGGUAACUUGAGAUAUUUUGUAGUCAUGUUGCGCGAGUUGGAACCGGUGUUUUUCUGGAUCAAACGCGCCAAAUAAAUGGACAUUUUGGAUAUAUAACGACGGAAUUAAUCGAACAAAGGACCAUUUGUGAUGUUUAUGGGACAUAUUGGAGUGCCAACAGAAGAAGCUCGUCAAAGUGCAGGUGAGCAGUCUGUCUGGAAUUGAAGAGCGCCUGAUCUAAAGACUGGAUCCCUCUCACUGAGCGCCGUCUCUGACAUAGCAAGGAGAUUUGGAAACUACGGAAGGCUAUAUUCAACCAUUGUGUGAGCAACCAUGCUGCAGCACCAGAGGCUAGAGGGGUUGUGUACAGUACAUCAGAGGUUGGCAACCCUGGUCCUGGAGUGCUGCAGGCUCUUCAUGUUUUUGAUUAACCGACCUGGAAGAACAGGAAUCUCCAAAUGUUGAACGAGCACCUCGGAUGAAGGAUGGGGAGGAAAACAGACAGCUUCUUUCGACCACACCUUCGCAAAGCUUCUGCAGUGGUGGAUGGACUCAUGCAUGCCAACCGAAUUAAAAUCUCCUCCAAUAUCUGACAUUGCACCUGGAGACACUGAACAUCAGAGACCAAUGCAUUACCUUGCCUGGACCAUGGAGAUCAGUCCCAUUCACUCAUACAUCAUGGUGACAGCUCAAAGCAAUCUCUCAGCCACGUCUGGGAAAAUAGGUGAAGAGAGAACCUGGAAAGAACUGCACAAUAAUCAACCACCAACUGAGGAGGAACUGAAGGCAUCCUAAAUGUAUCACAGUGACUUUAACAGAAUGCACUUGCCCUUGAAUAUAAAAUAAAAAUAUGUGUCCCGGGAUACAAUGAAAGAAAAUGUAUCUUUUGCUGUGAACCGUACAGAGCCCUCCUAAAAAAAUAAUCAAGUCCCAGACGGAUCGUGUCAAGUAAAUGGAAU
rnacentral:lncRNA from 1 species